UUCCUACGCCGCUCCGUACUUGUUCCCCACCCCGCAUCUGAAACCCUAAAAUGGAUUCCUCAGCCGCAGAUGACCCUAUGGCAGAUGAAGCCGGAGUAGAAGAUGCCUUCACACAGGAGAUCACCGAUUAUUCGUACGUCCCUAGAUACCAUGUGUUGAGUUGGAUGGAAACUGUGGAGGGGAUGGUGGCCGGUGUGGCGGCGCUUCCGCCGGUGUAUUUGAUACUGAACAGAGAUCUUCUUGAGACGGGAUGGGGAUAGAAGAGGCUGGUGCCCUACAGACCUGGUUAUGUUGAGUGGCAUGUGUUCAAGAAAUACCUUGGGGACUAUUUCGACCAUAAUCGUGAAGCUUUUCUUUGUGCCGAGCAGAAGCCUGAUCCAUUUGGAUGGAUUAUUGCUGAAAAGAGUGCCCUGAUUGCUGCAGCCAAAUUGUGCCUCAAGAUGGAGAAGGCACUUCUCAGGUACUGUGCUAGCUUUCUCACUCCUGACGACAAAAGGAUGAUCCUCGGGAUCAAGGACCAGGCAAAGCAAAUGAUCCAAUCAGAGGUGCUUCAAGCAAUGGUUCAAAUGGGUGUCCUUGUUCCUACUGGAGAUAUGACUGUUGUCAGAAGAACCGCUCAAUUUUUCCUUAAUAGCUUUCAAGAGUGCCUAAUAGCACAAAGGAAGGAGAGAGAAAUGGCAACCGCAGAACUGGGUUUCAAAAAGCAAUUAACUAAGGAGGAGAAGUUUGAAAAGAGGAAGCAGAGACUUGCUGCAAUCGGAGAGGAUCUUUUGGCGAUUGCUGCUGAUCAACCAUUUCGCUUCCCUGCCACAUUUACAUUUGUGGUCAGAGCAUUCUCAGUUCUAGAUGGUACUGGGAAAGGCCUUCAUCCUAGGUUUCAUAUUACAGAGAUUGCUAAGCCAAAUGCCAAGGAAUUGCUAAGAUUUAAUGACGCUGGUGUUGAAAUAGUUGUGAAGGUGUGUGGAGAGACAUGUGUAUUCCUCCUAUGACGAAUUCCUUAGGCUCCAUGAAGGUAAGCCUGUCUUAAUGGGCUUGAUUGUUGAACCUGACUUAGUACUUUUAUCCAUGUCACGGCGUUGAACCAGACAGUCACUCAUGUCCUUAGGAUAUUAACGGUAUACAUCAACAAUUCAUUCUAUUUUAAUUGCUUGCAAAACUUUUUUGGCCCUUCAAAUGAGUUCCACGCAUCAAGAAGUCAAGAUUCCAGGAGGCCUAAAAUAGGAGAGGAGGGCGCAGCUUGAUUCAAUCCAUGUCAAGUCAGAGGCUGCUGCGAGGUUUGCACAUGCAAGUAGAAUUUAGAUGGUGAGGUUUUGUCUCUGUUCCCAUUUUUAUAACGACUAGGUGUUUGAAU